GCCCUAAUAGUAUAAACAUUACAUUGGUCUUGUAAACCAAAAAUGAAGCUCCAAGCUUCUUAAGGCA
rnacentral:tRNA from 1 species